UGGGGAAUAUUGGACAAUGGGCGCAAGCCUGAUCCAGCCAUGCCGCGUGAGUGAUGAAGGCCUUAGGGUUGUAAAGCUCUUUUAUCCGGGACGAUAAUGACGGUACCGGAGGAAUAAGCCCCGGCUAACUUCGUGCCAGCAGCCGCGGUAAUACGAAGGGGGCUAGCGUUGCUCGGAAUCACUGGGCGUAAAGGGCGCGUAGGCGGCGUUUUAAGUCGGGGGUGAAAGCCUGUGGCUCAACCACAGAAUGGCCUUCGAUACUGGGACGCUUGAGUAUGGUAGAGGUUGGUGGAACUGCGAGUGUAGAGGUGAAAUUCGUAGAUAUUCGCAAGAACACCGGUGGCGAAGGCGGCCAACUGGACCAUUACUGACGCUGAGGCGCGAAAGCGUGGGGAGCAAA
rnacentral:rRNA from 1 species